rnacentral:rRNA from 1 species
GAUGAACGCUAGCGGCAGGCCUAACACAUGCAAGUCGAACGGUGUCUUCGGACAUAGUGGCGCACGGGUGCGUAACACGUAUGCAACCUACCUUACAUUGGGGGAUAGCCUUUCGAAAGGGAGAUUAAUACCGCAUAAGACAGUAGCUGGGCAUCCAGCAGCUGUUAAAGAUUUAUCGAUGUAAGCUGGGCAUGCGUCCAAUUAGCUAGUUGGUGAGGUAACGGCUCACCAAGGCAAUGAUUGGUAGGGGAACUGAGAGGUCAAUCCCCCACACUGGCACUGAGAUACGGGCCAGACUCCUACGGGAGGCAGCAGUAGGGAAUAUUGGGCAAUGGACGCAAGUCUGACCCAGCCAUGCCGCGUGCAGGAUGAAGGCGUUAUGCGUUGUAAACUGCUUUUAUACAGGAAGAAACGACUCUUGCGAGAGGCAUUGACGGUACUAUAUGAAUAAGCACCGGCUAACUCCGUGCCAGCAGCCGCAGUAACAC